AUUGAACGCUGGCGGCAGGCCUAACACAUGCAAGUCGAGCGGAUGAAGGGAGCUUGCUCCUGGAUUCAGCGGCGGACGGGCGAGUAAUUCCUAGGAAUCUGCCUGGUCGUGUGGGAUAACGUCCGGAAACGGGCGCUAAUCCCGCAUCCCUCCUGAGGGGGUAAGUGGGGGAUCUUCGGACCUCACGCUAUCAGCUGAGCCUAGGUCGGAUUAGUUAGUUGGUGGGGUAAAGGCCUACUAAGGCGCCAAUCCGUAACUGGUCUGAGAGGUGGAUCAGUCACACGGGAACGGAGACACGGCCAGGACUCCUACGGGGGGAAGCGGUGGGGAAUAUUGGCAAAUGGGGCAAAGCCGGACCCAGCCAGGCGGCGGGUGUGAGGAGGGUCUCCGGAUUUAAAAGCCUUUUGUGUUGCGAGGAAGGGCAGUAAGGUAAUACCUUGCUGUUUUGACGGUAGCUACAGAAUAAGCACCGGCUAACUUCGUG
rnacentral:rRNA from 1 species